GUCGCGCAGGUCGUUGGUCACCCGGCUGUUAUGGAUGGCGUACAGGCGCUCCGAGUAGCCCUGCGGGAAGUAGAGCGCUGUGGAGGCGGAAUGGUUCACUACAUUUGCACUCCUUUUGCCUGCCCUUUUGCCUGAUCGCAUAUAAGGCAUAAACGAAGAGAGAAGAUGCCAGCCACAAAUUGAAGUGUCCCCAUUCCGGUGCAUCCCCUGCCCCCGGCGAAAACCGAAACCCCCAGCUUCGGCUCAGCCAGAUUGAAGCGGUAAGGGGCAGAGGUGGAGGUGGAGGGAGAGCAGGUACAAAGUCGUUAGCACUUUGCCUGGUGUGAAGUUACCGAAGUCAACGAGGGCCAGCCCAGUCGGCCAUCUCCAGCUCCAGCUUCAGCCAGCCUUGUUACACGGCAGGCUGGACAGCCAGACAGCCGGACAGCCAGAAGCCAGACGUUUAACACGGCCAACAAGUGAACGGACAAAAGAGCGGACAGUGGUUCAGUGCUGUCCCUUAGGCUUCUUUCUCCCCAACUCAGUUCGGUCAACCUGUGACACCUGACCUAGAGGGUGCUGGGCCCUUCGUACUUCAGUAGACUGGCACAACCCAUUAAUCCUGGCUGCUACUCCUACCGAUGAUAACGAUCACCAAUUGAGUGGCAGAAGAGGGUGGGAGGAAGAGGAGCAAGAGGAGGAGGAGGAGUAGGAGGAGGAGCAGCAGCAGCAAGAGAAGGAGGAGGAGGAGGAGGAGGAGCAGAAGGUGGAGAGCCAGACAACAGGCGGAUAACAACGCCUGUCUCCAAGUGGGCUCAAGUGCCGCAGGAGGUGGAGGAGGAACCGGAGGAGGAGCAGGAGGAGGAGGACGUGGGUCAAGAGAAGGGGCAGCGAGACACGCAGGCUGCGGAGAAGACGGACCGACGGCCGGCAGCAGAAGCUGAGGCAGCGGCAGCAAAGCCAAAAGCAGAAGCUACUUGAGAGCCACAGAAUUCCGAUUCCGAUGAGGCGAUCGUGUGUCUAUAUGCAUGCUGAGGAGCCAGGCAACGCGCAGUCGCACAGCCACCAUUCCACUCCAUUACCAGUUCGCAGAUCGCAGAUCGCCGCUUCCAACAUCCAGCAUCUACCAUCUACCAUCCGCUCCCAGGAGCUGGCAAUCAAAUGGCCAACGUUGGACAAUGACUUUCACGCCUUUCGAGCGCGCCAAAACGGACAAGUCAAGUACAGGCGGCCAAGAGGCAUUCCAGAUACCCUACCUGCCUACCCAUUUUUGAGCCUUUCUUAGCCAAGUUAUACAUAUGCCAUUUACAAUUGUAUCUACAUUUAACCUAAUCGAGGUAUACCAUUUAUGGUGUUUCUUACUAACUUUAAUCCGAUAGAAUAUUUUUUAUAAUGUUUUUCAUAACGAAAUUGAAAAGAUCAUUGUAUCUUUAAAUUGAAAAAUUACUUUCGGGUAUGAUAACCAUAUUCCUUGUUUAAUCCCAAAGCUCUUCCGAAAUGUAGAAGCAUUGGAGAUACAUUAGCUGAGCUCAUUUGUAUGAAUAUUCUGUUUUUAUCGAUCAACACACUCUUUUUUCCGUGCACUUUUCACCCAGAAGUCUCUCGUUUUCAAUUUCCGUUACGAUCAAUCAGCACUUAAGCCAUCAAUCUGAAGGGGGAGGGAUAUUAAUUGAAAUUGAACGGACAAUCUCCCCAUUGAUAUGGCAAAAAAAAUGCAAGUGUUUUUGCUCUUUAGGUUAAGUUAGUUCUUAUCGCUUAAUUAGGGUUGUGCGCAAUACUCACAACAAUCACAAAAAGUAAAGAUCGCAGGUUAGUUUUCAAUUUCAAAUUUGCACACUUCACGUACUCGUUAGCCGUCGCCGAAACCAAAAAAAAAAAAUAAACGGUCGGUUGACUUGGUUGACAAUUCGAAAAGGGGCUUGGGGCUCCGAAAAAAUAUAUACACUUUUAUUUGCCGAAUUCCUUAAGCCUUCAAUUUUUCACAAAUUCCGUUGCGUCGAAAGCUUUUUUGUUUGGACACAAACGCGACAAGAAUUGGCUUUUGAAAAUACAAUAACGCGCAGAGUUUUGGUGUGCGACCGUCGCGUUGCAGCUCCUUAGCUGAUCUGGACGAUCCACCGAAACCGAAAACCGUGGAACGUUUCGAUCGGAUCUCAGUGAUGCCUUCUGCUCACUCAGAUCACCAUUAAAGUCGCCAGAAAAGUACAGCGUUUGAACAUUAAUAUUUUUAAAUCUAUUAUAUAGUUUUUUGCUUCUGUAUAAUGAAAUGAUUAGGAAAUACAUUAUUAUGAUGGAAUUGUAUUUACAAAUGGAAUUACACUUUAUUAAAAAACAUAAA